rnacentral:rRNA from 1 species
UACGUAGGGGGCAAGCGUUGUCCGGAAUCAUUGGGCGUAAAGCGCGUGUAGGCGGUCCGGUAAGUCGGCUGUGAAAGUCCAAGGCUCAACCUUGGGAUGCCGGUCGAUACUGCCGGACUAGAGUUCGGAAGAGGCGAGUGGAAUUCCCGGUGUAGCGGUGAAAUGCGCAGAUAUCGGGAGGAACACCUAUGGCGAAGGCAGCUCGCUGGGACGUUACUGACGCUGAGACGCGAAAGCGUGGGGAGCAAACAGG